rnacentral:rRNA from 1 species
UACGUAGGGUGCAAGCGUUGUCCGGAAUUAUUGGGCGUAAAGAGCUCGUAGGCGGUUUGUCGCGUCGGCUGUGAAAACCUGGGGCUCAACCCCGGGCCUGCAGCCGAUACGGGCAGACUAGAGUGCGGUAGGGGAGAUUGGAAUUCCUGGUGUAGCGGUGGAAUGCGCAGAUAUUAGGAAGGAACACCGGUGGCGAAGGCGGCUCUCUGGAACGGUACCGACGCUGAGACGCGAAAGCCGUGGGGAGCAAACAGG